CGGGACGUAGCGCAGUCCGGUAGCGCACCUGAAUGGGGUUCAGGGGGUCGCGGGUUCGAAUCCCGCCGUCCCGA
rnacentral:tRNA from 3 species